AACUUAUUUGAUUAGGAAAAACUCACUGAUUUCUUAAAAUGAAUUAUUUUGAGGGAAUUUAUGCAUUGGGAAGUAAGACAUACUUUUUCCAUCUUGAUCAUCAAGUUUAAUGCAUUCAAUGAAUUUCACACGAAGUUUUGUUGAAUAAUAUGAACAACUACAUUAGUUCAUUCUUUUUUUCUCUUAUCAUAAAUGCAAGCCUAAUUGUAUGUUUGCUAAUUUCUAGUUGUUGCUUUCCCCUUUAAAGCUCGAAGAAGUGAUUUUAUGUGAGAAGGUAUUGAUCCUCGCUUCA
rnacentral:misc_RNA from 1 species